rnacentral:lncRNA from 1 species
CCAUUUUUUGACUUGGUGAACUUUUAAAAAAAAUACAAGUUAGCAAGUUAAUUAAAGGAAAAAAUAUAACGGUACAAAUAAAAAAAAUACUAACCAAGUGCUAUGGCCUCGUCGUGGGUUGGUUUGGAGAAACGGGAGAUGCUCUCGACCUGGUUGUUGAACCAAUAGAUGAACCGGCAUGACCCCCGGAUCCUGUUGAGCAGCAGCGUGAGGGGCAGCGUGAGGGGCUGAGGGAGCUGGAGCGGGAAUAUAUGCGGGAACCGAGUCAUGAGACGAUCCCGAUGCACGGGAACUGCUCACCAAACUACGUCGAAGACGGGCUGCGGGGCGGGCUUCAUCCUCGGCCCUAAAAAAAAAAAUUAACCCAUCAAACAUAUUUUCAAAUCAUUUCUAUUUUUAAUGUUUUCAUUUAUAUAUUUACAAAAGGUUUUAUAAACGUUUUAAAAAAAACUAUUAAACCUUUUAUAUAUAUAUAUUAUACAAAAUUAUAAAAAAUUUAUAAAUAUAGAAAAAUGUUGUUAAAUAUUUUAAAAAAAAAUUAAAAACGUUUUAUUAUAUAUAUUUCAUUACUGGAAACUUGAAAAACGUUUUUAAAAAUAAAAAAACGUUUUAAAAAAUCACAAAACGUUUUUAAAAAUCAAAAAACGUUUUUAAAAAUCAAAAAAUGUUCCAAAAAAAACUAAAACAACAAUCCAAACAACAAUCCUAACUUAUAUAUCCUAAACUAUCCAUUCAAUCCUAAAAUCCGAGAUCAACUUCCAAAACCCUAAACAAUUGAUAAAAAAGAGGGUUUGGGAUGAUUCUUACAUGAUUUGGGGUUUGGGGAAGAGAUAUGA